UACGGAGGAUGCAAGCGUUAUCCGGAUUUAUUGGGCGUAAAGCGUCCGCAGGUGGUUUUUCAAGUCUGCUGUUAAAGCGCGAGGCUUAACUUCGUACAGGCAGUGGAAACUGGAAGACUUGAGUAUGGUAGGGGUAGCGGGAAUUCCCAGUGUAGCGGUGAAAUGCGUAGAUAUUGGGAAGAACACCAGCGGCGAAAGCGCGCUACUGGGCCAUUACUGACACUCAUGGACGAAAGCUAGGGGAGCGAAAGGG
rnacentral:rRNA from 1 species